ensembl:lncRNA
GGCUGAGCUGGGGGGGGGAGGGGGAGGUUGUGGGGCUGAGCUGUGGGGCUGAGCUGUGGGGCACAGAGGGAGGUUGUGGGGCUGAGCUGUGGGGCACAGAGGAGGUUGUGGGGCUGAGCUGUGGGGCAGGGAGCUCAGCUCCAGGUCUGGGACUCAGGUGUGACCCAUAGCGCGCAGCCCCACGGCGCCCAGCCCCACACAGCUCCCAGCCCCACAAGUCCCAGCCCCACAGGUUCCAGCCCCACAUAGCUCCCAGCCCCAUAGAUCUCAGACCCACACAGUGCCCAGUCCCACAGGUCUCAGCCCCAUAGACCCCAACCCCACAGAUCUCAGCCCCACAGAUCCCAACCUCACAGCUCCCAGCCCCACAUAGCUCCUAGCCCCACAGCUCCCAGCCCCACACAAGUCCCAGCCCCAUGGAUCUCAGACCCACACAGCUCCCAGCCCGUCAGCUCUCAGCCCCACAGAUCCCAACCCCACAGAUCUCAGCCCCACAGCUCCCAGCCCCACAAGUCCCAGACCCACACAGAUCUCAGCCCCACAGAUCCCAACCCCAUAGAUCUCAGACCCACAGAACUCAGAGCCACACAGCUCCCAGCCCCACAGCUCCCAGCCCCACAGAUCUCUGACCCACAGAUCUCAGCCCCACAGCUCAGCCUCACAACCUCCCUCUGUGCCCCACAGCUCAGCCCCACAACCUCCCUCCCUGCCCCACAGCUCAGCCCCACAAGUCCCAGCCCCACACAGCUCCCAGCCCCACAGCUCCCAGCCCCACAGAUCUCUGACCCACGGAUCUCUGCCCCACAGCUCAGCCCCACAACGUCCCUCCCUGCCCCACAGCUCAGCCCCACAACGUCCCUUCCUGCCCCACAGCUCAGCCCCACAACCUCCCUUUGUGCCCCACAGCUCAGCCCCACAACCUGCUCCCUGCCCCACACGCCAUGCACUGUGAUGAUGAGGGAAUCCACUCUCCGUCCCCGUGGCCCUGGAGCUGCCCACGUGCGCGGCGCCGCGCGGAGGAGCUGCAGUUCGGCCCCACGGGGCUCCUGCCCUCCAACCCCGACUUCAUCCGCGACUUCUGGGCCUUUUUCGAGCGGCUGCGGCGCUUCCAGAGCCGGAAACCUCGUCCGACCCCGACCCCAAAAAGCAGCAGGAAGGAGCCAUCGCCGACCCCAAAACACAGCAGGAAGGAUCCGUCCCCAUCUCCAUCCCUGACCCUAAAACGCAGCAGGAAGGAGCCAUCACCGACCCCGACCCCAAAAAGCGGCAGGAAGGAUCCGUCCCCAUCUCCAUCCCUGACCCCAAAACGCAGCAGGAAGGAGCCAUCGCCGACCCCAAAACACAGCAGGAAGGAUCCGUCCCCAUCUCCAUCCCUGACCCUAAAACGCAGCAGGAAGGAGCCAUCACCGACCCCGACCCCAAAAAGCGGCAGGAAGGAUCCGUCCCCAUCUCCAUCCCUGACCCCAAAACGCAGCAGGAAGGAGCCAUCGCCGACCCCAAAACACAGCAGGAAG